rnacentral:rRNA from 5 species
GACUCUCGACAACGGAUAUCUCGGCUCUCGCAUCGAUGAAGAACGUAGUGAAAUGCGAUACUUGGUGUGAAUUGCAGAAUCCCGUGAACCAUCGAGUUUUUGAACGCAAGUUGCGCCCGAAGCCUUCUGGCCGAGGGCACGUCUGCCUGGGCGUCACGC